GAUCACAGCCUGAGCGGUGACGUCUUCCUUUACGUGCCUCUUCAAUCAUUGGCGCAAGAGCAACAUCAUCAGCCUUGGUCGUCAAAAGGUUUCCUGUAUUACAUACCUACCAAAUGGAAUUCGAAUGUCAUAACUCUGAACAUUCUCCUAGUGCUGCCCCUUGUGGAUGCGGCAUGAGGUGAACCGCGAAGGCGAAUUUGUGUUCCAAGACAUCCGCAACGUGCAUUGUUGUCUUGGCCCGCGAACUACAGCCUGAGCUCUCGGAUGCAGAAUACCAGGAGGGCAGGAGGUCUCUACCUCUGUGUGCCCGCACUCAGCGUUAAUCGCUCGCAUCGAACGACUGUCGUCGUCGCCUCGAGAAGUCAAGUCCCUCGGGCAUGUCGUGCUCGAGCGACGUCGGCGUCUGUGAAGAAUGCUACCUGGUUGAU
rnacentral:misc_RNA from 1 species